rnacentral:rRNA from 1 species
GACGAACGCUGGCGGCGUGCCUAAUACAUGCAAGUCGAGCGAUGAAGAUUGGUGCUUGCUCCAAUUUGAAGAGCAGCGAACGGGUGAGUAACGCGUGGGUAACCUGCCUUUAAGCGGGGGACAACAUUGGGAAACGAAGGCUAAUACCGCAUAACAUCUUUAACCAUAAGUUUUAAUUUUGAAAGAUGCAUUUGCUUCCCCUAAUAAUGAUCUCGCGGUGUAUUAGCUUGUUUGUGAGGUAAAGGCCCAACAAGGGGAUGGAACAGAACCCACCUGAGAGGGUGGUCGGCCACAAUGGGACUGAGACACGGCCCAAACGCCUAAGGGGGGGAGCAGUAGGGAAUCUUCGGGAAUGGGCGAAAGGCUGACCGAGCAACGCCGCGGGAGUGGAGAAGGGUCUCGGGUCGGAAAACUCUGUUGGUAGAGAAGAACGUUGGUGAGAGUGGAAAGCUCAUCAAGUGACGGUAACUACUCAGAAAGGGACGGCUAACUACGUG